ACAUAUUAUCCUCGGUGAACGCUUGGCCAUUGACAAUCUUAAAGUUUUCCUCAUCUGCUCCACCAAAACCAUGGAAAGGGGUAUUCGCAAGCCGAAUGAAUGCAUGCAGGCAAAAAUGGAGAAUGUUUUGUAUCUUAUCUACUUACCGCCGUCGAACCCCAUCUUAGAAAUUUAGGAAGAUUUUGUUGUUACUUUUGCCAGCUGCUGCCAGUUGUAUUAAGAUAUGUUUAUUCAGGUAGUAAACCAAAUCAGAGUUGCCAAGUAAAAUUAAUGGCUGAAGCUAGGUAUGCACCUCUAACGAAAUUUCUUUUGCAAC
rnacentral:sRNA from 1 species